rnacentral:tRNA from 1 species
GGGCAUGUAAUUCAGUUGGUAGAAUGUUUUUCUAUGAUAUGGAAGGUCUUGGGUUCAAGCCCUGGCAUAUCUC